UACGGAGGGUGCAAGCGUUGUCCGGAUUUAUUGGGUUUAAAGGGUGCGUAGGCGGCCCUGUAAGUCAGUGGUGAAAUACUGCAGCUUAACUGUAGCAUUGCCAUUGAUACUGCAGGGCUUGAGUACAGAUGAGGUAGGCGGAAUUGAUGGUGUAGCGGUGAAAUGCAUAGAUACCAUCAAGAACACCGAGUGCGAAGGCAGCUUACUAAGCUGUAACUGACGCUGAGGCACGAAAGCGUGGGGAUCGAACAGG
rnacentral:rRNA from 1 species